rnacentral:misc_RNA from 1 species
AACGCACAUUGCGCCCCUUGGUAUUCCAGGGGGCAUGCCUGUUUGAGCGUCAUUUCACUUCUCAAACAGCGAUGUUUGGUUGUGAGUGAUACUCGGAAGAGUUAGCUUGAAAAUGCUGGCCGGUGGCUGUAGCGGCUGGAGCUUCUUAUCCUGCUACGCAAAGGAGAGCUCUGCUGGACGUCUUCGUACUAGGUUCUGCCAAUUCGAGGACAGCUGGCGGGGGUUUCUGUGGCGGGAGCCACGGGAUGCUCAAUUUAAGGCUGCAGAGAGACAGCAGUGGCGAAGAGUGUUCUUUUAAGUUUGACCUCAAAUCAGGUAGGAGUACCCGCUGAACUUAA